GAACAAGCUUGUGGCUGCAGGCACAGCACAGCUCAGGUCACUGGAUAGAUGGUCCCUUUGGAUCACGUGCUCAUCCCUGGCCCAGUCAGCUGUGAUCAGAGGAGCAAGACCGUGAGAUAAGGCUUGAAACCUAAGGAAUUUCAAAGAGGGGGCCAUGAUGGGCAUUCAGCGGCAUCUCAGGAGGGGGCAGAGUAACCAGCAGGUGCUUUGCAUGCUGGUCUGGUGUGUCUGGAAAAGGCAUCCCGCUAAAACGUUUGUCAGGAAACUUCUCAUCAGCAUUUCCAGCAUGCAGGAGCAACCAAGAGAGCCACUUAGAUACCAUUUGAUUAUAAUGUGUUUCUCAGAGAAAUAAAUAGCCCAAAUGGAA
rnacentral:lncRNA from 10 species